UACGGAGGGGGCGAGCGUUGUCCGAAGUUACUGGGCGUAAAGCGCGCGUAGGCGGGUUGGUAAGUCCGCUGUGAAAGCCCGGAGCUUAACUCCGGAGGGUCGGUGGAUACUGCCAGUCUUGAAGGUGCUAGGGGGAGAUGGAAUUACCGGUGUAGCGGUGAAAUGCGUAGAUAUCGGUAGGAACACCAGUGGCGAAGGCGGUCUCCUGAGGCAUUCUUGACGCUGAGGCGCGAAAGCUGGGGGGAGCAAACGGG
rnacentral:rRNA from 1 species